rnacentral:rRNA from 1 species
CCUACGGGUGGCAGCAGUAGGGAAUAUUGCUCAAUGGGCGAAACCCUGAAGCAGCAACGUCGCGUGGAGGAUGAAGGUUUUCUGAUUUUAAACUCCUUUUGUUAGAGGAGUAAAUGUCGGUAUCUAACGAAUAAUCACCGGCUAACUCCGUGCCAGCAGCCGCGGUUAUACGGAGGGUGCCAGCGUUACUCGGAAUCACUGGGCGUAAAGAGCGCGUAGGCGGGAUAGCAAGUCAGAGGUGAAAUCCUAUGGCUUAACCAUAGAACUGCAUUUGAAACUGUUAUUCUAGAGUAUGGGAGAGGUAGGUGGAAUUCUUGGUGUAGGGGUAAAAUCCGUAGAGAUCAAGAGGAAUACUCAUUGCGAAGGCGACCUGCGAGAACAUUACUGACGCUGAUGCGCGAAAGCGUGGGGAGCGAACAGGAUUAGAUACCCCGGUAGUC